CCUACGGGGGGCUGCAGUGGGAGAUUUUGCACAAUGGAGGAAACUCUGAUGCAGCGACGCCGCGUGAGGGAAUACGGUCUUCGGAUUGUAAACCUCUGUCCUUGGGGAAGAAAAUGACGGUACCCAAAGCGGAAGCUCCGGCUAACUAUGUGCCAGCAGCCGCGGUAAUACGUAGGGAGCGAGCGUGGUCCGGAAUUACUGGGGGAAAGGGGAGCGUAGGCGGGCGGGAAAGUUGAAUGGUAAAUCUACCGGCUCAACUGGUAGCUGCGUACAAAACUUCGUGUCUUGAGUGAAGUAGAGGCAGGCGGAAUUCCUAGUGUAGCAGUGAAAUGCGUAGAUAUUAGGAGGAACACCAGUGGCGAAGGCGGCCUGCUGGGCUUUAACUGACGCUGAGGCUCGAAGGCGUGGGGAGCAAACAGGAUUAGAUACCUCGGUAGUC
rnacentral:rRNA from 1 species